UUAAGCGACUAAGCGUACACGGUGGAUGCCCUGGCAGUCAGAGGCGAUGAAGGACGUGCUAAUCUGCGAAAAGCGUCGGUAAGGUGAUAUGAACCGUUACAGCCGGCGAUGUCCGAAUGGGGAAACCCAGUGCAAUUCGUUGCACUAUCGUUAACUGAAUACAUAGGUUAACGAGGCGAACCGGGGGAACUGAAACAUCUAAGUACCCCGAGGAAAAGAAAUCAACCGAGAUUCCCCCAGUAGCGGCGAGCGAACGGGGAGCAGCCCAGAGUCUGAAUCAGCUUGUGUGUUAGUGGAACGGUCUGGAAAGUCCGACGGUACAGGGUGAUAGUCCCGUACACCAAAAUGCACAGGCUGUGAACUCGAAGAGUAGGGCGGGACACGUGGUAUCCUGUCUGAAUAUGGGGGGACCAUCCUCCAAGGCUAAAUACUCCUGACUGACCGAUAGUGAACCAGUACCGUGAGGGAAAGGCGAAAAGAACCCCGGCGAGGGGAGUGAAAAAGAACCUGAAACCGUGUACGUACAAGCAGUGGGAGCACCUUCGGGUGUGACUGCGUACCUUUUGUAUAAUGGGUCAGCGACUUAUAUUCUGUAGCAAGGUUAACCGUAUAGGGGAGCCGCAGGGAAACCGAGUCUUAACUGGGCGUUAAGUUGCAGGGUAUAGACCCGAAACCCGGUGAUCUAGCCAUGGGCAGGUUGAAGGUUGGGUAACACUAACUGGAGGACCGAACCGACUAAUGUUGAAAAAUUAGCGGAUGACUUGUGGCUGGGGGUGAAAGGCCAAUCAAACCGGGAGAUAGCUGGUUCUCCCCGAAAGCUAUUUAGGUAGCGCCUCGUGAACUCAUCUUCGGGGGUAGAGCACUGUUUCGGCUAGGGGGUCAUCCCGACUUACCAACCCGAUGCAAACUACGAAUACCGAAGAAUGUUAUCACGGGAGACACACGGCGGGUGCUAACGUCCGUCGUGAAGAGGGAAACAACCCAGACCGCCAGCUAAGGUCCCAAAGUCAUGGUUAAGUGGGAAACGAUGUGGGAAGGCACAGACAGCCAGGAUGUUGGCUUAGAAGCAGCCAUCAUUUAAAGAAAGCGUAAUAGCUCACUGGUCGAGUCGGCCUGCGCGGAAGAUGUAACGGGGCUAAACCAUGCACCGAAGCUGCGGCAGCGACACUAUGUGUUGUUGGGUAGGGGAGCGUUCUGUAAGCCUGCGAAGGUGUGCUGUGAGGCAUGCUGGAGGUAUCAGAAGUGCGAAUGCUGACAUAAGUAACGAUAAAGCGGGUGAAAAGCCCGCUCGCCGGAAGACCAAGGGUUCCUGUCCAACGUUAAUCGGGGCAGGGUGAGUCGACCCCUAAGGCGAGGCCGAAAGGCGUAGUCGAUGGGAAACAGGUUAAUAUUCCUGUACUUGGUGUUACUGCGAAGGGGGGACGGAGAAGGCUAUGUUAGCCGGGCGACGGUUGUCCCGGUUUAAGCAUGUAGGCUGAUUGUCCAGGCAAAUCCGGAUAAUCAAGGCUGAGGUGUGAUGACGAGGCACUACGGUGCUGAAGUAACAAAUGCCCUGCUUCCAGGAAAAGCCUCUAAGCAUCAGGUAACAUCAAAUCGUACCCCAAACCGACACAGGUGGUCAGGUAGAGAAUACCAAGGCGCUUGAGAGAACUCGGGUGAAGGAACUAGGCAAAAUGGUGCCGUAACUUCGGGAGAAGGCACGCUGGUGUGUAGGUGAAGUCCCUGCGGAUGGAGCUGAGACCAGUCGAAGAUACCAGCUGGCUGCAACUGUUUAUUAAAAACACAGCACUGUGCAAACACGAAAGUGGACGUAUACGGUGUGACGCCUGCCCGGUGCCGGAAGGUUAAUUGAUGGGGUUAUCCGUAAGGAGAAGCUCUUGAUCGAAGCCCCGGUAAACGGCGGCCGUAACUAUAACGGUCCUAAGGUAGCGAAAUUCCUUGUCGGGUAAGUUCCGACCUGCACGAAUGGCGUAAUGAUGGCCAGGCUGUCUCCACCCGAGACUCAGUGAAAUUGAACUCGCUGUGAAGAUGCAGUGUACCCGCGGCAAGACGGAAAGACCCCGUGAACCUUUACUAUAGCUUGACACUGAACAUUGAGCCUUGAUGUGUAGGAUAGGUGGGAGGCUUUGAAGCGUGGACGCCAGUCUGCGUGGAGCCAACCUUGAAAUACCACCCUUUAAUGUUUGAUGUUCUAACGUUGGCCCCUGACCGGGGUUGCGGACAGUGUCUGGUGGGUAGUUUGACUGGGGCGGUCUCCUCCCAAAGCGUAACGGAGGAGCACGAAGGUUAGCUAAUCCUGGUCGGACAUCAGGAGGUUAGUGCAAUGGCAUAAGCUAGCUUGACUGCGAGCGUGACGGCGCGAGCAGGUGCGAAAGCAGGUCAUAGUGAUCCGGUGGUUCUGAAUGGAAGGGCCAUCGCUCAACGGAUAAAAGGUACUCCGGGGAUAACAGGCUGAUACCGCCCAAGAGUUCAUAUCGACGGCGGUGUUUGGCACCUCGAUGUCGGCUCAUCACAUCCUGGGGCUGAAGUAGGUCCCAAGGGUAUGGCUGUUCGCCAUUUAAAGUGGUACGCGAGCUGGGUUUAGAACGUCGUGAGACAGUUCGGUCCCUAUCUGCCGUGGGCGCUGGAGAAUUGAGGGGGGCUGCUCCUAGUACGAGAGGACCGGAGUGGACGCAUCACUGGUGUUCGGGUUGUCAUGCCAAUGGCACUGCCCGGUAGCUAAAUGCGGAAGAGAUAAGUGCUGAAAGCAUCUAAGCACGAAACUUGCCCCGAGAUGAGUUCUCCCUGAGACU
rnacentral:rRNA from 1 species